CCUUGCUUAGUAUGCAUUUUUCCACUAUUUCAGCAAGGAACUCGAAUUCCUCUGGAAACUCCUUUUUCUUCAUAUCCUUUAGACUAGGGUUUCUUUGGUACCCCAUAAUCUCCUUUGCUUGCUCAGUAUCGAUCUCAUCAAGGUUUCUCAGUCCUAGGUCAAGGAAACCUAAGCAUUGAUUGAUAUCGGAUGAUUUUAGUUUAAGAGACUGACCUUUAACCUUGGUUGAAAGGGUUCCGGCAUUUAUGAAUGCAUUUGAGUAGAAUUUCUUGACCAGUUCAGUAUAUACUCGAGUGCUAGCCUCAAGACAUUCUGAGAAUCAAGCUUUCUUCACAAGUUCGAGAAUGUCUCUGAACU
rnacentral:lncRNA from 1 species